GUCCACGCCGUAAACUAUGGGUGCUAGCCGUCGGAUAGCUUGCUAUUCGGUGGCGCAGCUAACGCAUUAAGCACCCCGCCUGGGGAGUACGGCCGCAAGGUUAAACUCAAAGGAAUUGACGGGGCCCGCACAAGCGGUGGAGCAUGUGGUUUAAUUCGACGCAACGCGAAGAACCUUACCAGCUCUUGACAUUUACUGAUCGUUUCCAGAGAUGGAUUCAUCCCAGCAAUGGGCAGUAGGACAGGUGCUGCAUGGCUGUCGU
rnacentral:rRNA from 1 species